UGGUUCUGAACGUGCAAAAAGAACUGGCACAGAUGGCAUGCGUUUAAAAGAAGGCAUUCAUAUCAACAAGGGUCUAUUAGCUCUUGGGAAUGUAAUAAGUGCUCUAGGAGAUGAAAGAAAGC